rnacentral:rRNA from 1 species
AACGAACGCUGGCGGCAGGCCUAACACAUGCAAGUCGAACGCCCUGGCAACAGGGAGCGGCAGACGGGUGAGUAACGCGUGGGAACGUGCCCUUCGGUUCGGAAUAACUCAGGGAAACUUGAGCUAAUACCGAAUACGUGCGAGAGCAGAAAGAUUUAUCGCCGAAGGAUCGGCCCGCGUCUGAUUAGCUAGUUGGUGAGGUAAAAGCUCACCAAGGCGACGAUCAGUAGCUGGUCUUAGAGGAUGAUCAGCCACACUGGAACUGAGACACGGUCCAGACUCCUACGGGAGGCAGCAGUGGGGAAUCUUGCACAAUGGGGGCAACCCUGAUGCAGCCAUGCCGCGUGCGCGACGACGGUCUUCGGAUUGUAAAGCGCUUUAAGUAGGGACGACGAUGACGGUACCUACAGAAUAAGUCACGGCUAACUUCGUGCCAGCCGCCGCCGUAA